rnacentral:rRNA from 1 species
UACAGAGGGUGCGAGCGUUGUCCGGAAUCACUGGGCGUAAAGGGCGCGUAGGUGGCGACCCAAGUCGAUGGUGAAAGCUCGCCGCUCAACGGCGAGUCGGCCACCGAUACUGGGUUGCUGGAGCACUGUAGAGGCAGAUGGAAUUCCGGGUGUAGCGGUGGAAUGCGUAGAGAUCCGGAAGAACACCGGUGGCGAAGGCGGUCUGCUGGGCAGUUGCUGACACUGAGGCGCGACAGCGUGGGGAGCGAACAGG